rnacentral:RNase_P_RNA from 1 species
UGAGUAAGCUGUGCUAUCGCACAAGAUGGUGCUAAAAACACAUUGCCGAAAGGACUCUUGUGAGGAAAGUCCGGGCUCCAUAGGGCAAGGAUAACGGGUAACGCCCGCCGAAGGCGACUUUAGGACAAGUGCAACAGAAAUAAACCGCCUGUUUAUGCAGGUAAGGGUGGAAAGGUGAGGUAAGAGCUCACCCGAGGUACGGAGACGUACUUUCGCUGUAAACUCUAUUCGGAGCAACACCGUGGGUAGAGCUGCGUUAAAUCGCAAGGU